AGAGACUUAGUUAAAAAAUAACGCUGGUCUGUCAGUCCAGAAAUUGCGAAACUUGUAUCGCAGUCCCUUU
rnacentral:tRNA from 1 species